AUGUCUUCUUUUGAGAAGUGUUCUUUCCUGUCCUUUGCCCACUUUUUGAUGGAGUUUCUAGGUUUUUUCCCCUCUAAUUUUUUUUUUUUUUUUUUUUUUUUUUUUUUUGAGACAGGGUCUUGCUCUGUCACCUACGCUGGAAUGCAGUGUUACAAUCUUGUCUUACUACUGCCUCAGCCUCCUGAGCUCAUGUGAUCCUCCCACGUCAGUCUCCCAAGUAGCUGGAACUACAGGCAUGCACCACCAUACCCAGUUAAUAUUUGUAAUUUUUGCAGAGAUGGGGUCUUCCUGUGUUGCCCAGGCUGGUCUCAAAUUCUUAGGCUCAAAUGAUCCUCCUGCCUCGGCCUCCUAAAAUGCUGGGAUUACAGGCAUGAACCACCACAGCCAGACUCUCUGUUAUAGUUGUCUUGUCUAUACCUAAUCUGAUAGCAACUUUUUCUUUAGAGACUCUCCUCUGUUGAAUCCUUCCAAGUUUUUCUUUUGUUUUUUGUUUUUUGGAGAUGGAGGCUCACUCUGUCACCUAGGCUGGAGUGCAGUGUUGCUAUCUUGGCUCACUGUAACCUCCACCUCCUGUGUUCAAGCAAUUCUCUGACUUCAGUCUCCCAAGUAGCUGGGACUACAGGCACACACCACCACGCUCGACUAAUUUUUGUAUUUUUAGUGGAAAUGGGGAUUCACUAUGUUGGCCAGGCUAGUCUCGAAGUCCUGACCUUGGAUGAACCACCUGCCUCGGCCUCUCAAAGUGCUGGGAUUACAGGUUUGAGCCACCAUGCCUGGCCCUAAACUAACUUUCAUAGAAACAACUACCAUUUUGCUCUCAUGUUUCACUCAUAUAAUUUCAAAUGAAUUACAUUAUUACAGGAACAAGGCCAGGACACAGACUCUAAAAAGUGAAGUCUUGGUAAAUCUACAGUUCAGUUGGUAGAUCCAGAAGUAGAGAAGUAUAGUAGAAAGAAGCCUACUAGCUACUAGUAUUAAGAGAUAAAAUGAAAUAUAUAUGUGGAAUAUAUGUUAUAUUAUAUAUAAUAUAGUCAUAUAUAGGGCUUUGACUUUAAUACAAUAUGUACGGCUGUUCUAGGGGGCUGUGUAAUAGGUUUCUAAAUGUGCAUGUAAACUAAAAUUCAUAAUUCAUAUUUGAAAUAUAUACAGAUUCCUCUUUUUUUUUUUUUUUUUUCCUAGAUGGAGUCUUGCUCUGUUGCCCAGGCUGGAGUGCAGUGGCACGAUCUUGGUUCACUGAAACCUCUGCCUCCCAGGUUCAAGCAAUUCUCCUGCCUCAGCCUCCAGAGUAGCUAGGAUUACAGGUGUGUGCCACCACGCCUGACUAAUUUUUGUAUUUUUAGUAGGGAUGGUGUUUCACCACAAUGGCCAGGCUGGUCUCAAACUCCUGACCUCAGGUGAUCCGUCUGCCUUGGCCUCCCAAAGUGCUGGGAUUACAGGCUUGAGCCACCACACCCGGCCCAGACUCCUCUCUUAAAGGAAGCCUUUGCAGAAUUCUUUUCUACUACAACGAAAUUCCUCCUAACAUAACUAUUAGCAUAGCUAUUAAAAAUCAUCAAGUUGGUCAGUUAACUUCAGUGGAUUUCUUCCUAACUACCCUCACUUCACACUGCUCAUUCAGGUCAGACCUGUCAGGGAUGUAUGUGCCAAGACCCACCUUCUCAGGGUGGGAUGUGAUCCUUACAUGGCUGUCUUGCAUGCCUCUGCCCUGUCUUUGUGACCUGAGGCAUCUUCACUGUUAAUCUGUCUACAGAUAUUGGGAUAUUUCUGCUUCUUUUCAAUCUUACUAUCACCAUCUUGGUCCAAUCUACCAUUGUCUCCAUUCAGAUGUCUGCAGACUUCCUUCCUGUUUCCCAGAAUCCUGUCUGACUCAACCCAACACAUUCUUUUUUUUUUUUUUUUUAAAUACUUUAAUUUCUAGGGUAUAUGUACACAACAUGCAGGUUUGUUACAUAUGUAUACAUGUGCCAUGCUGGUGUGCUGUACCCAUUAACUCGUCAUUUACAUUAGGUGUAUCUCCUAAUACUAUCCCUCCUUCUUCCCCCCAUCCCAUGACAGGCCCCGGUGUGUGAUGUUCCCCUCCCUGUGUCCAAGUGUUCUCAUUGUUCAAUUCCCACCUAUGAGUGAGAACAUGCAGUGUUUGGUUUUUUGUCCUUGUGAUAGUUUGCUGAGAAUGAUGGUUUCCAGCUUCAUCCAUGUCCCUACAAAGGACAUGAAUUCAUCCUUUUUCAUGGCUGCAUAGUAUUCUGUGG
ensembl:lncRNA